GGAUGUACGCUGAAGGUUUGAAUGUUACAGUCGACACCAUUUUGAAAGAAAUCAGGGAAAGACAAAUAGAUUAUUAUGGUGGAAGAUCAAGUCUUCAUAAAUUGUUAAAGAAGAUGGGAUUUUCAUGGACAACUGUUGAUGGACGAAAAGCUUUGAUAGAGAAUGAAAACAUAGUAUUGCAGCGAAUAGAUUUCUUGAGAAAGUAUAAAGAAGAAAAAGAAAGAGGAACUGUAUCAAAGUCAUGGCAGGACAAGAGUCUACAAUCUGCGAAGAGACGUACUGUUGGAGAUGGUAAAAGGUUUAUUGUUGUUAAUGCUGGAGGGCGCACUGGCUUUGUGCCAGGAGCAGGAUUACUUUUUGUUUCAGGUCAGAAGACUGCAGACUACCAUGGCGAGAUGAAUGGGGAAACUUUCUUGAUGUGGUUUGAAGACAUGUUGGUGCAUCUUGAGGAACCCAGUGUCAUCAUAAUGGACAAUGCUUCAUAUCACAGCACCCAGAUGGGCGAGGUGUGUGGAUCACGUGGAGAAGCUAAUUCAAGCAGACUGGGAGAGAGAAGUCCACAUAGACAGCGGCACCAUUCCUCCACUCAUCAUCCACCUCGGCAAGGAUAGUUCAAGUGAAGACAGUGACAGCGAAGAAUUUGAGGUUACGACACAGCAAGUAGAUGGAGACAGUGAAGUACUGGCAGUUCCUCUUGAUGAUUUACCCGGGUGUUCUUAUUGAGGUCUGUAUGUAAUAAACACCUGGGCAACUGUAAGUAUUGGGGUUUGAAACAUUUUUUUUUCUUUUAUGCAUUCCCAUUAAGUAUGUUGAUUACUGGAACUUUAUGUAUUA